AGGCCCGCGCUCCAUUAGCUUGUUGGUGAGGUAACGGCUCACCAAGGCUGCGAUGGAUAGCCGUCCUGAGAGGGUGAUCGGACAAAUUGGGACUGAGAUACGGCCCAGACUCCUACGGGAGGCAGCAGUAGGGAAUAUUGCGCAAUGGGCGCAAGCCUGACGCAGCGACGCCGCGUGGGUGAUGAAGCUCCUUGGAGUGUAAAACCCUGUCAGUGGGGAAGUGACGGUACCCGCAGAGGAAGCUCCGGCUAACUCCGUGCCAGCAGCCGCGGUAAUACGGGGGGAGCUAGCGUUGUUCGGAUUUACUGGGCGUAAAGGGCGUGUAGGUGGAUUAGCAAGUCACAUGUGAAAACCAGUGGCUCAACCGCUGGCCUGCACUUGAUACUGUUGAUCUUGAGUACGGGAGAGGAAGGCGGAAUUCCUGGUGUAGCGGUGAAAUGCGUAGAU
rnacentral:rRNA from 1 species